rnacentral:rRNA from 1 species
GAUGAACGCUAGCGACAGGCUUAACACAUGCAAGUCGAGGGGCAGCAGGGGAGUAGCAAUACUCCCGCUGGCGACCGGCGCACGGGUGAGUAACACGUAUGCAACCUGCCCUUGUCAGGGGGAUAAGCGGAAGAAAUUCCGUCUAAUACCGCAUAACGCUGCGGGGAGACAUCUCCCUGCAGCCAAAGAUUUAUCGGACAAGGAUGGGCAUGCGGCGCAUUAGCUUGUUGGCGGGGUAACGGCCCACCAAGGCGACGAUGCGUAGGGGUUCUGAGAGGAAGGUCCCCCACACUGGUACUGAGACACGGACCAGACUCCUACGGGAGGCAGCAGUGAGGAAUAUUGGUCAAUGGCCGGGAGGCUGAACCAGCCAAGUCGCGUGAGGGAAGACGGUCCUAUGGAUUGUAAACCUCUUUUGUCAGGGAGCAAAAACUGCCACGCGUGGCAGGAUGAGAGUACCUGAAGAAAAAGCAUCGGCUAACUCCGUGCCAGCAGCCGCGGUAAUACGGAGGAUGCGAGCGUUAUCCGGAUUUAUUGGGUUUAAAGGGUGCGUAGGCGGACAGUUAAGUCAGCGGUAAAAUUGAGAGGCUCAACCUCUUCCCGCCGUUGAAACUGAUUGUCUUGAGUGGGCGAGAAGUAUGCGGAAUGCGUGGUGUAGCGGUGAAAUGCAUAGAUAUCACGCAGAACUCCGAUUGCGAAGGCAGCAUACCGGCGCCCAACUGACGCUGAAGCACGAAAGCGUGGGUAUCGAACAGGAUUAGAUACCCUGGUAGUCCACGCAGUAAACGAUGAAUACUAAUUGUUCGGGUCGAGUGAGAUCUGAGUGAUACAGCGAAAGCGUUAAGUAUUCCACCUGGGGAGUACGCCGGCAACGGUGAAACUCAAAGGAAUUGACGGGGGCCCGCACAAGCGGAGGAACAUGUGGUUUAAUUCGAUGAUACGCGAGGAACCUUACCCGGGCUCAAACGACACAGGAAUGAUCUGAGAAAUCAGGCAGUCCUUCGGGACCUGUGUCGAGGUGCUGCAUGGUUGUCGUCAGCUCGUGCCGUGAGGUGUCGGCUUAAGUGCCAUAACGAGCGCAACCCCCAUCGACAGCUGCCAGCAGGUCAAGCUGGGCACUCUGUCGAGACUGCCGGCGCAAGCUGUGAGGAAGGCGGGGAUGACGUCAAAUCAGCACGGCCCUUACGUCCGGGGCGACACACGUGUUACAAUGGCAGGUACAGCGGGAAGCCACCUGGCGACAGGGAGCGGAACCCGAAAGCCUGUCUCAGUUCGGAUUGGAGUCUGCAACUCGACUCCAUGAAGCUGGAUUCGCUAGUAAUCGCGCAUCAGCCACGGCGCGGUGAAUACGUUCCCGGGCCU